AAUGCCACAAAAAACUAUUAUUUUUUUAUCUCGUUUUCAAAAUCCUGCUCACAACCAAAAAAUAAAUUUUGGUUACCCGCUUCUCAUCUUCUUUCUCAUCUUCUUUCUCAUCUCCUUUUACUCUCAAAAUUUGCCUCUAAAUUUCCAGCAACACCAAGUCAAUACACCUACACCAAUCAUACUUCUUUUCCCUUUUCAUUUCACUGCACUAAAUUCACCCACCAUAGAGAAAAGAAACGUCUCUCGCUCUCCUUUUUCUCCAUUUUGAACUCCAAAUUUUUGUAAAAAGAAAGGAAAUCAAAACAAUGUCAACGAGAAAAGCAAGAAACAAAAAGCGUGGAUCGGAGUCCUUGCUCAAAAAAUCGGAUUCGAAAAACCCGACUCAUUGAUGAUUUCGAUCCUGAUCCUGAUCUUUCUAAUGAUCUCAAAGGGAUCAUGUCGGCUCUGCAACUGAUCAAAGAAAAAGCACAAAAGGACGGGAAAAAGAAGAACGAAGAGACAAUUUCCAGUGUGGCUGCUAAGAUAAGUCGAAGCUUGAUGAUCUGAAGUCAAAAUUUGAGAAGGAAAGGUGAUGUGUCGGUCAUGCCUGAUGUAUCUGUUGAUCUUGUCACUAAUGCUGUAGAAGAUAUUGAAGGUGCAGCAGAGGAUUCAAUCUCUUCAAGCUGGAAAAGCCAAGGCUUAGCACUUCUUCAAGUGGAACGUUAUUUAAUAUUGCAUUCCAUGGUCAUUCAUCUUAGUCAGAACUUGAAUUUUGUGUUAUGGAAACAGGGUUUUGUAGCUACGUUGUGUACCAGCUUCUUUAACCAUGAUGGUUAAUUAUUACGAGUUUUGUAGCUUCUUUUCUAA